ensembl:lncRNA
UGGAGAAGUACCAAGGGGGAAAGAGGACACAUCUUUUGAAAUGGGAAAAAAAGAGGUAAAAAAAGAAGAAAAGGAAGGAUCAGUUGGCAUCUCUCACUUUGACUACAAAAGAGUGAAUGAGGGAAAAACUUCAUUAUAUUGGCGAGUGACAGGAAAUGUGAAACACAGUGACAGAGGAAGAGAAUGAGGACCUUUUUUCCCUCCCCACCUCAGUUUCAUGUCUCUCUCGCUGCAAAACAGAAAAAAAGAAACUCUGUGGACCAUACGAUCUACAACACACACACAUGCACUGACCCCAUAUCUCCCAUGAACAGUGCCACCGACCAUCAACUGUCAUUUUUAUUCAGCGUCGGACUCACUCCGUAAUCACCCUGACAGACAAUGCACUGCCA